rnacentral:lncRNA from 1 species
GGAAAAGGCUGGAAUGUUUUGGGACAGUGAACCGGUCAGUGACCUGAGGGAGUGAGUUCCGUGUUUCCGUAAUGUUAGAACACAUCACUUCCUCCUCCUUUCUCCCUUUCUCUUCCUUCCUUCCUUCCUUUCUCCCCCCCCCCCUUAUCUCUUAAUGCUGUAACCCAAACACAAAUGACAAUUCCUAAACACAGAAGUUUCUGGAAGCCCCAGGGAUCUGGCACCAGGGUCCUGUUUGCUGUUCAGCUGUUUCCCGGGCUCGCUCCAGCAGGGUUGAAUCACCCUGUCUCAUGUUUCCUAAAGAGGUAAUGGGCCCUUUUCUUGUGAGGUGCCUCCCUCUGCCCAGCAUUCUGGGAGUUUCUGGAAGAUGCUGCCAUGUGACCAUUUAUGUCCUCCAGUAUCCGUGGCAUCCCUGGGACUCUCCACAUUGCUGUCUUUUUCCUCAGCAAGUGCCGUCUUGCCUUACAGGUAAACCACAUCUUGCUUCUAUAUUCACCCUGGUGGACACCAUGGUUUUCUUUUUGGGCUGCUGGGGUUGUGGCUGCCAUGAACACAGAUGUGCACACACUCUGCAUGGGUAUUCUUGAAUGACAAAUGCAAGACCCAAUACUGGGUUUAGGCUGGGAUCCUGAUUUGUGAAAGCAGUGCUUUGUCCCUGGGGGUAGCAUGGACAGGGUUUUAUGCUAAUUGGAAAAUGUGAAGGGGCCUGCUCCUAGCUGCUGGCACCAGGAAGAAAGGCUUUGAGGGAAUGGAGAAUGGAGUGAAGAAGGCUGUGUAAGCACACACGACUCCAUGUUGGCCUGUGUGACCGGUGUCGAUUGUAUGGAGACAGGAAACAAAACAAGCCCCCAAGUGUUCCCUGCAAAACGGCAGGGUCAGGCAGGGAAGCUGAGGCUUGAAGAGAAGAGGGAAUUUAGCAUGAGAGGGGUCUCCAUUCCUCUUCCCUGACUGACUGGAGUGCUAGGUCCCUCACAAGGAAGCUGAGUUUCUUUUGCAUCCCUGAGCCUCAGCUUUGCUAUGCAGAAAGGGAGGAGCAAGACCAUGGACCUGAUGUCUGUAGAGAGAGGUGAAGGUGGGGCGCAGACAGGGGGGAAUCCUAGCGGAAUGAAGGGAACUAUGUGGGAAGAGAGUGGGUAACGGUGUGGGGUCUUGUGGUGCCAGCCCCUGGCUGAGCUUGCUCUGUCUUGGGGACAGUCCCAAUCACAGAACAGGACAUUGGGAGGGUGUGGUGAAUGCCCAGGUCUCCGUGACCUGGCUUGUCAAAGCUCCCAUUUGCUGCAUGUUUCUUUCAGAUGGACAGCAGCCAGCCAGCGUGGCUGCGGGGGGUCACUCAGUGCCCUUUCCACAGCUGUGAGCCGAGCUCAGGGAGGGUGGAGGCCAGAGUGGGACCAGGGCUGGCAUGGGGUGGGGGCUGGGGCAGAGUGAGACUAGGGUUGGCAUGGGAGGGGUGUGGAACUGAUGUGUGUCACAUGGGUGGUCCAUCGAGUGUCACAGAGAGGCCACCGGGCAGGAGCUGAGACCUGAAGAAGCCAUGCCCCUCUCCAGCGGGCACCUCCUUUCACCCAGCCCUGCAAGAGGCAGGGAGCU